AAGAUUUUAAGUUAAAUAAACUAGAAGCCUUCAAAGCUUAAAAUAAUUUUUUUUAAAUCUUA
rnacentral:tRNA from 2 species